UACGUAGGGGGCUAGCGUUGUUCGGAAUCACUGGGCGUAAAGCGCACGUAGGCGGACUUUCAAGUCAGGGGUGAAAUCCCGGAGCUCAACUUCGGAAUUGCCUUUGAUACUGUCUGUCUUGAGUCCGGGAGAGGUGAGUGGAAUUCCUAGUGUAGAGGUGAAAUUCGUAGAUAUUAGGAAGAACACCAGUGGCGAAGGCGGCUCACUGGCCCGGUACUGACGCUCAUGUGCGAAAGCGUGGGGAGCAAACAGG
rnacentral:rRNA from 1 species